UACGGGGGGGGCAAGCGUUGUUCGGAAUCACUGGGCGUAAAGGGCGCGUAGGCGGCCGAUCAAGUCGGGGGUGAAAACUCGAGGCUCAACCUCGAGACGUCGGUUGAAACCGUAAGGCUAGAGUCCGGAAGAGGAGAGUGGAAUUCCCGGUGUAGCGGUGAAAUGCGCAGAUAUCGGGAAGAACACCCGUGGCGAAGGCGGCUCUCUGGGACGGUACUGACGCUGAGACGCGAAAGCGUGGGGAGCGAACAGG
rnacentral:rRNA from 1 species